rnacentral:rRNA from 1 species
AUGAACGCUGGCGGCGUGCUUAACACAUGCACGUCGAACGCUGAAGCACCAGCUUGCUGGUGUGGAUGAGUGGCGAACGGGUGAGUAAUACGUGAGUAACCUGCCCUUGACUCUGGGAUAAGCCCGGGAAACUGGGUCUAAUACUGGAUGCUACAUGUCACCGCAUGGUGGUGUGUGGAAAGGGUUUACUGGUCUUGGAUGGGCUCACGGCCUAUCAGCUUGUUGGUGAGGUAAUGGCUCACCAAGGCGACGACGGGUAGCCGGCCUGAGAGGGUGACCGGCCACACUGGGACUGAGACACGGCCCAGACUCCUACGGGAGGCAGCAGUGGGGAAUAUUGCACAAUGGGCGAAAGCCUGAUGCAGCGACGCCGCGUGAGGGAUGACGGCCUUCGGGUUGUAAACCUCUUUCAGCAGGGAAGAAGCCACAAGUGACGGUACCUGCAGAAGAAGCGCCGGCUAACUACGUG